GCGGAUGUAGCCAAGUGGAUAAAGGCAGUGGGUUGUGAAUCCACCAUGCGCGGGUUCAAUUCCCGUCGUUCGCC
rnacentral:tRNA from 1 species